AGCAGCCGCGGUAAUUCCAGCUCCGAUAGCGUAUAUUAAAGUUGUUGCAGUUAAAAAGCUCGUAGUUGAAUUUCGGGAUUGACGUGAUGGUCGUGCCUUAAGGGGUAUGAACUGUCGCAGUUGAUUUCUCACCUUCUGGAGAAGCAUGAUGCCCUUAAUUGGGUGUCAUGUGGAACCAGGACCUUUACCUUGAAAAAAUUAGAGUGUUUAAAGCAGGCAUUUUGCUCGAAUACAUUAGCAUGGAAUAAUAGAAUAGGACGGCAUGGUUCUAUUUUGUUGGUUUCUAGGAUCACCGUAAUGAUUAAUAGGGAUAGUUGGGGGCAUUAGUAUUCAAUUGUCAGAGGUGAAAUUCUUGGAUUUAUUGAAGACUAACUACUGCGAAAGCAUUUGCCAAGGAUGUUUUCAUUAAUCAAGAACGAAGUUAGGGAUCGAAGACGAUCAGAUACCGUCGUAGUCUUAACCAUAAACUAUGCCGACUAGGAAUCAGACGAUGUUAAUUUUUA
rnacentral:rRNA from 1 species